rnacentral:rRNA from 1 species
UACGUAGGGGGCAAGCGUUGUCCGGAUUUAUUGGGCGUAAAGAGCGUGUAGGCGGCCUGAAAGGUCAGCUGUGAAAACUCGAGGCUCAACCUCGAGACGUCGGUUGAAACCAUCUGGCUAGAGUCCGGAAAGAGGAGAGUGGAAUUCCCGGGUGUAGCGGUGAAAUGCGACAGAUAUCGGGAAGAACACCCGUGGCGAAGGCGGCUCUCUGGGACGGUACUGACGCUGAGACGCGAAAGCGUGGGGAGCGAACAGG